GAUGAACGCUGGCGGCGUGCCUAAUACAUGCAAGUCGAGCGAACAGACGAGGAGCUUGCUCCACUGACGUUAGCGGCGGACGGGUGAGUAACACGUGGAUAACCUACCUAUAAGACUGGGAUAACUUCGGGAAACCGGAGCUAAUACCGGAUAAUAUAUUGAACCGCAUGGUUCAAUAGUGAAAGACGGUUUUGCUGUCACUUAUAGUUGGAUCCGCGCCGCAUUAGCUAGUUGGUAAGGUAACGGCUUACCAAGGCAACGAUGCGUAGCCGACCUGAGAGGGUGAUCGGCCACACUGGAACUGAGACGCGGUCCAGACUCCUACGGGAGGCAGAAGUAGGGAAUCUUCCGAAAUGGGCGAAAGCCUGACGGAGCAACGCCGCGUGAGUGAUGAAGGUCUUCGGAUCGUAAAACUCUGUUAUUAGGGAAGAACAAAUGUGUAAGUAACUAUGCACGUCUUGACGGUACCUAAUCAGAAAGCCACGGCUAACUACGUG
rnacentral:rRNA from 1 species